CUGCUAUCGGAUUAAUACUAAGCCAUGCGAGUCAUUGUAGCAAUACAAGGCAUACGGCUCAGUAACGCGUAGUCAACCUAACCUAUGGACGGGAAUAACCUCGGGAAACUGAGAAUAAUGCCCGAUAGAACAUUAUGCCUGGAAUGGUUUAUGUUCCAAAUGAUUUAUCGCCGUAGGAUGGGACUGCGGCCUAUCAGUUUGUUGGUGAGGUAAUGGCCCACCAAGACUAUUACAGGUACGGGCUCUGAGAGGAGUAGCCCGGAGAUGGGUACUGAGACACGGACCCAGGCCCUAUGGGGCGCAGCAGGCGAGAAAACUUUGCAAUGUGCGAAAGCACGACAAGGUUAAUCCGAGUGGUUUCUGCUAAAGGAACUUUUUGUCAGUCCUAGAAACAYUGAUGAAUAAGGGUGGGCAAGUUCUGGUGUCAGCCGCCGCGGUAAAACCAGCACCUCAAGUGGUCAGGAUGAUUAUUGGGCCUAAAGCAUCCGUAGCCGGCUCUGUAAGUUUUCGGUUAAAUCUGUACGCUCAACGUACAGGCUGCCGGGAAUACUGCAAAGCUAGGGAGUGGGAGAGGUAGACGGUACUCGGUAGGAAGGGGUAAAAUCCUUUGAUCUAUUGAUGACCACCUGUGGCGAAGGCGGUCUACCAGAACACGUCCGACGGUGAGGGAUGAAAGCUGGGGGAGCAAACCGGAUUAGAUACCCGGGUAGUCCCAGCUGUAAACCAUGCAAACUCAGUGAUGCAUCGGCUUGUGGCCAAUGCAGUGCUGCAGGGAAGCCGUUAAGUUUGCCGCCUGGGAAGUACGUACGCAAGUAUGAAACUUAAAGGAAUUGGCGGGGGAGCACCACAAGGGGUGAAGCCUGCGG
rnacentral:rRNA from 1 species